rnacentral:ncRNA from 1 species
AUAAUGAUUUAGGUACCUUUAAUUAGGUAUAAUAGGGAAAGUGGUGAAAAUCCACUACAGCCCCCGCUACUGUAUACGGAUACGAAAUCAAUAUCCACUGGAAUUUAUUUUUCUGGGAAGGAUGGUUAAGGUUAAGCCGUUAGUCAGGAGACCUGCCUAAAACAU